rnacentral:rRNA from 1 species
UACGUAGGCAGCAAGCGUUGUUCGGAAUUACUGGGCGUAAUGAGUGUGUAGGCGGUGCUCUAAGUUUGGUGUGAAAUCUCCCGGCUCAACUGGGAGGGUGCGCCGAAAACUGGAAUGCUUGAACGUGGGAGAGGAAAGUGGAAUUCCUGGUGUAGCGGUGAAAUGCGUAGAUAUCAGGAGGAACACCUGCGGUGUAGACGGCUUUCUGGACCAUUGUUGACGCUGAGACACGAAAGCGUGGGUAGCAAACAGG